AUUGAACGCUGGCGGCAUGCCUUACACAUGCAAGUCGAACGGCAGCACGGGUGCUUGCACCUGGUGGCGAGUGGCGAACGGGUGAGUAAUACAUCGGAACGUACCUUAUCGUGGGGGAUAACGCAGCGAAAGCUGUGCCAAUACCGCAUACGCCCUGAGGGAGAAAGCGGGGGAUCGCAAGACCUCGCGCGAUUAGAGCGGCCGAUGCCUGAUUAGCUAGUUGGUGGGGUAAAAGCCCACCAAGGCGACGAUCAGUAGCUGGUCUGAGAGGACGAUCAGCCACACUGGGACUGAGACACGGCCCAGACUCCUACGGGAGGCAGCAGUGGGGAAUUUUGGACAAUGGGGGCAACCCUGAUCCAGCAAUGCCGCGUGAGUGAAGAAGGCCUUCGGGUUGUAAAGCUCUUUUGUCAGGGAAGAAACACCGGCUCUAACACAGUCCGGGAAUGACGGUACCUGAAGAAUAAGCACCGGCUAACUACGUGCCAGCCGCCGCCGUAA
rnacentral:rRNA from 1 species